rnacentral:lncRNA from 1 species
AGAAGAGAGGGAAGGACCGCUCAGGGUGGGGAGCGGAAGAAAUCCUGGAGCAGCCAGAGCAGCAGGUCCGGGGGUAGCAGCUCAGCUCCACUGCCCUCAUUACUCAAGCAGGCACCGCUGAGCUUCCUGCAUUGCUUUCCAGUCCCUCUGGGCGGAGGUUGCCAUCUAGAUCUGACUCCGGAACUUAAAAUGCAAUGGCUAGAAGACAAGGAAGUGUCACAAGAAGAAUGUGGACAUGGACUCCAAGACUGCUAAUGAUGAUGUUGAUCCUUUGGAGUCAGCAGGGGAAAGGACAAGGCCAAGGUAGGUGCAAGCAUGUUUUAAUAUUCUUUGAGCCGGAUGUGAGUUGCGUUUUAUUUUGGAUUACGUGGACCUUUGGCUUGAUACGAUUUGAUUUGAUUUGAUUUUGGUUUGACAUUUCCCCAAGUUUUUUGUUGAAGAGGAUUCUAAUGCUUCUGAAGCUGUUUAAUUGAGCUCGAAUUAGGUGUGAGUUGGUGUAUCACAUUUGACUAGACAGGCGCUUUCACCAACUAAGGAAGCUGCUGCUUCGAGUUGGCUUUACUUUGCUAUGGUAGAUGCUCUCUAUAUAGAUAUAUUUGUGUGUGUUUGUGUAAUUUUACAAGGAUCUAUUCAUUAAAGCUAUUAUAUUUUUAAGUGAAGCUUUUGGAUCUUGUUUCUUUAGUGACUUUUAGGUUUUAAUGUUUUAAAUUUCAAAAACAUAAUUCAUUAAAGGGUUUGAUGUUCUUCACAAAUUAAGGAGAAAAAUGGAUGUUCCUCAUUGCUUUGCCAAGUAUAUUUGGAGGAAAUUAAUGGUAGAGUGAAGUUGGCAGUUUGCUGUGUCCUGACAUGUCCUUUACAGAGUUGAAAGGGACCAGAGAUUUUGUAAUGAAGUUUUUCAAUGUACUUAUUUGAUCGGUAGCUAUAGGGAGUGGUUUAUGUCAAAUCUGGUGUCUAUGUGGUAUAUUUUGUGAUAAGUAUUAUUUUUGGAGGUGCGUUGCUUGCUAGAUGCACAUUGCAAUUUAAUGUUUUAUAUGAUAAAAGGAAGUUGUGACCCCCAUAAAUUUUGUUUGGUCUUGGAGUAGAAUAUAUGUUGAUGUUGCUUCUGCAUUUCUCAGGCCUUGAAAUGUGACCAGGAAAGGUUUAAAAGCAUUGCUCUAGAUAAUACUGAAAAUGUGUUUCAAAUUGAAGAUUGAAAAUGGCGUUGAGUUUUUGCUAGUCUUAUGGUUUCCAAACUAUCCAUUAAAUAUUGUGUUUAUUUAAGUAAGUUUAUUAACUCUUUUGAAAAUAUUGUUCAAAAAGAACACUGAUUGCUUAUAAAAUAGAUGUUUUUUUAAAAAAAUGCAUGUGUAUCUUGUAUGUGAAUAGGUAUAUAUACAUAUAUGCAGAUAAUCAAUUUUAAUAAUGAAAUGGGCUUUGGUUUUUAACUUUUCUUUCAUGCCAUUAAGAAUUUAUAUUAACAUCAAGUUGAAUUCUCAUUUUGCUUUUCUUUUUUUUGUUAAAAAUAAUGUAAGAAAAUCACUUAACACACUUUUUUUUUUAAUCAAAUGUCUAAAACAGGAAUCUGUAGGCAGCAUUUCUGUUGGCUAAGAAAGUUGUUUAUUCCCCUGACAAUGUGUAGGAUCACUAAAAUGCAGCAGGACAACUAUUUUCCUGCAAUAGUGAUCCAACAGUACAUUUAGUAUGACAGGAGAUUGCCAAAACCUUCUCUGUGGCCAUUAUUUCUAGGGAUUGUGGCUAAUUCUCAUUGGUUAAGUUUAUUGGAUAUUUCAGAUAUUUGAGAAAGAAUAAGUAUUGUCUCUCUUAUUUGUCCAAGCUCUUUAUUCUUUCUUCAAUAUUGAUUUCUCAAAUAGUCUUUCCUUUGAUAGUGACCAUCCUGUGUAAAACAAACAAAAAAACAUGCCCCAAGUCAAUGCCAUGCUUAAGUACAGUGAAGCUUCUAAUGAUAAAUGCAAGUUAAGUAAUUUAGCUUCCUUUUAAAAGAAUAAAUUAAAAUAGGCAAUAAUUCAAAGGACAAAACAAUAGAAAACAUAAUAGAAUGCUUUAAUAUUAUGGUUAAGGGAAUUUUGCUUCCUUUAUAGUAGCUGGAAUGAAUGAAGCAGAUUUCUUAGGCAUGAUAAGUGAAUCUUAUAAUUUCAGGUAAAAUCCAAGCUAAGUAUUAUAGUUUGGAGCAAUAAGCCUCAUUAAAUACUAAUUUUUUUCCACCUUGGAUCAUAUAAUUAAGCAGAAUUUUAAAAAAAGUUUUGAAAUCAAAACUUUAUAUUACUGGAUACUUUUUAAAAGAAAAAAUCUCAUAGUAUUUUGGUAAGAAAAUAAUACAUUAAAUACAUUAAAAAUCUGUAAAUAAAGUUUUUUCUAUAUUAAGUGUACAACUUUGCCUUUAACUUUAUUUAGGCCAAAGUCUAGAGUUGUGGUUAAGUAUCAGCAAAGUAUGACUUUUGUAGCAAACAUGCAUGCAAAAUUAAUAAACUUAUUUUUGCACAAAUUUAAAUUUCAAGGGUUUAUAAGCAAUGCUAAACUGUAUUUUUAUACAAAUUCUCCAUAUUUAUCAGUAUAUUCUAAUUAUUUAUAAAUCAUUGUGAAAUUUGGAUAUUCUUUCCCAUAAAAGGCACAUUAAAAAAGGUAAUUAAGUUUGGAAACAGAAGACAAAAGUCCACUUAUUAAUUCAUCUGUGUGUAACCACCAUUUACAGCAAAUGUUAUGGGAAAUGCAUUCUGAGUUCUAAAUAUGAAGAUUGAAAGUUCCCGCUGUGGCUCAGUGGUAACAAGCCCAACUAGUAUCCAUGAGGAUGUGGGUUUGAUCCCUGACCUCGCUCAGUUGGUUAAGUAUCCAGCACUGCAGUGAGCUGUGGUGUAGGUUGCAGACAUGGCAUGGAUCCCAGGCUGCUGUGGCUGUGGUGUAGGCUGGCAGCUGCAGUUCUGAUUUGACCCCUAGCCUGGGAACCUCCAUAUGCUGCAGGUGCGGCCCUAUAAAUAAAUAAAUAAAUAAAUAAGAUUGGUUGAUGAUCCCUUGGGGGCAUCGGGGUCAUAUAAAAAAAGAAUGAAGAAAAUGUAUGGCAAACAGGUAGCUGUCCCUUGUUAAUUUUUUUGUGUCUGUCAAGAAUAGCAUCUGCUUGAAGAUGUAUAUUUUCCUAUAUUAAGUGGUUAAUUUUCACUUUUUAAGCAGUUUCUAAUAUACUAAGCCAAUCCUUAAGUUAAAGUAGAAUACACACAACUUUAAAAGAAUUAUACCUACUAUGUAAAUAAAACAAGUAAAAUGAACAUUCAGAUUUAUUUUUGUUUUUUAAAGGAAUUAUAGGAUGUACACACACACACAAUCAAACACUAAGGUAGCCAUUGACUUUGGAGAUAAGCAAGAUAAAACAGAACUAAUAUCCAGUACAUACAGGUGUAAUUUAUAUAACACAACAGGUUAAAUCAUGGGAAUUUGGGCUGGGAAGAGGGGCUGUAGAAAGCCAACAGAGAGCCCAGUAGAUUUACAGGAUUUGGGGAAGUGCAGACAACAGUUAAUGGUAUUCAGAACUGAGAAAUUUUUUUCUAAACUCAGCAAUCACAUUUCUUUCUUUUCCCAUCAUGUUCAAGUAAUAAUGAGAUGUGUAUAAAGGUAAAAGUGUAGUUUAUAUAAUACUUUAAAACAGCAACUGAGAUGCAUGUGAAUUUAAAGGCAAUAUGAGGCAGUUUGGAAUUAAUAUGAAUACUUCUUAAAAAUAAAUUGAUGUGACUUUAAAAAGCAAAUAAACCAUUCAGAAAUAUUGCUUGGUAAUUCUUAAAAAGAUAUUUCUCCCUUAGUGGCUUUAAUAAAUGUGUUCCUUUUUUUAUUCUGGUACGUAAUAUAGCUGUGUGAAUUUUCUAAUAUAUAUUAAAAAUAAUAAAAAGAAGAAUGAAUAUAUGUCUGUUUCUAAAAAACAAGUUUUUCAGAUUUAUUGAAUGAGCACUAUUUACUGAUUUUUUUGUAGAUCAUAUAAAGUUUACAUAUAGUAAUAAUUUUAAUAUGUUAUCAUGAGUACACACAGAAUUUUAGUCAGUUUGGUUUCCAGAAUUUACAUGUUGAAGUUCCAUAUAGCCACCUUGAAACUAAAUGUGCGGAGGUUUGAAACUUUGAUGAAGCAAGUGGAUAUCACUCAUAUAGCAAAAUUCACUUUUGAGGACAAAUCAAUUUAUCUUCUAUUUUCAUUAUCAGAUUUUGUGUUAGAUAUUGAGCAUUCAACAAAAUAUGAUAACAUUCAGUAAUUAUAAUCUUUAGUUUCAUGAUCUCCAUUAUGAAAUAUUUUAGUUGAGGCAACAUUCUGAAAAAGUAAAUUGUCCUAUUUUGCAAGUCGUUAGACUAUAAUUUAUAUACACAGCGCUAAUCACUUGUGUUUUGCAUUUGUCACACAUCUGUUUUUUUCUCUAGAGACAUCAGAAAAAAGCUUUUCUAGAAUGGAUGGAUUGAUCAAUUGAUUGAUAGAAAGAUAAGAGUUCUCCUCUGUAUAUUUUUCUUUCUCUGCUUUGAAAUCUUUUACCAGUGUAUUUAGCGAUAUUUUUGUUUCUCUCGCUUUCUCUUUCAUUCAAGAAAUUUAAAUGACUGUGUAAUUUUGUCAGUAAAUGAGGAUGGGAAUCAACUUUGUGUCGAAGGUUUAUUUUAAAAGCUACAGCUUUUCAAUUUGAAUAUUUCAAAUAAUGUAAUCUAUAAAUUAUAGUAAUAUCUGAGACUUCACUACUGGUGAGGAAUAAUGACCUUGAGGGACCUUAAUGCCACCUAGAGUUUAAAUUUUCCAAGAUUACUUGGGUAAAUUGUUUUCAUCUUAUAAAUGAAUGUUAUUUUCAGAGAAGAAAGCUCAUAAAUUUGGCAGUGAAUAUUGAAUGACGAUUAUUUGUAUAUCACUAGAGACCUGACCUCAAAAUAUAAUCAAGCUAAGUAGUAGUGAAAUUGAACUUUGCUGUGUAACUGAAGUCUUAAUGUGUCCACCACUGUUUACCAAAUGUAAAGAAUUUUCCAUUUUGCUAAAUAACAUAUGUGUGUUUGUGUGUACAUAUAAAAAUGAUAAAUGGGCAACAUUUAAUUUAGUCGGUGGCAUAAUUUUGUUACUUAUGUCCAGUUUUAAUUUUGGUUUAGGCAUCUUAAAAUAAAAAUGCAAAUAUCCAAAAUCUAAAACUCCCAUUGAUACUCAUCUCAGCAACAUUUAAAAUCCUACCAACAAUGAGCCAGUCAUUUUUAGUGAUUAUAUGCAGUACGCAAUUUCCACAGCUUGAAAUGUUUGUAUUAUAUUGUAAACAGGGAAAGUAGUGAUUUUAAAAAUGCAAGUGGAUUUACUUUAAAGACAAUAUUUUUGAAGAACUUGUCCUCAAAAUUUGGAUUUUUGAGAAAACUGUGCAUUUCAAAUCCUUUCCAGACAUUUGACUGUUGACUUCCUAAAAUCAGUGCAAGUCCUUUCAUGCAGUCUACACGGGAGCCCAAUGAAGUAAAGGAGAUAAUACCAUAAAAGUCUAAUUGUGAAGAAUUUCUUUUGAGUGCUCACUUAUAUGUAUAUUUUUUUUAUCUCAAGGAAGGAAUUAACUUUUUACAAUUUAGAUAGAUGCUUUUAAUAAAAUUGUGAUACAGUAAUUUUUUUUUUCAUGUUUAAAAAAAUUGCCACGGAGGGGCUAGUUGUGAAAUGUUCCUAUUUUAAGGGAGAAGAAUAUGAUAAAUUGAUACCUCUUCUUACUGAAAUUAUAUAAAAUUAUCCAAUAUUUAGAUCACAUUUGGUCACAGUAUUUCAAAAAGUAUUCUUACCAUGCAACAUAGUAGUGUUUUAAUUCCCAUUUAUUUUAUGCUUUAAGGUAGUCUCAUUUUGUGAGCAUUCUCUACCCUCUGAAAAUUAAAUUAGUUUAGGAAAAACGAUUUCAAAUAUGGUUCCAAGUGCCCUUAUCAUUUUUACCGGAGAGUUUUAAUGCUCUAUUUUUACAUAUUUAAAGGCUUUAGAUACUUGGUAUAGAAUUAACAUUUCAUUUGAAGUUUUUUGUUGUAUUUGGAAUUUGACUUGAAAAAUAAGCUAGUAAGACGUUAUCUUCUAUUGGAUUUGCUAGCAGUAACUUUCUCCCUAGCCAUAUAUAUGGAUAGAAAAAAAGAGAGUUAAAUUGGGAAUAAAGAGAGCAUAGAUCGCUAAAGAGAAAGAGGAAUUGAAGUAAGUGGUAUAAACAGGAAAAGGGAGAAGUGAAGGAGUAUGUGUGAGAAAUGCAUAAGCUGGGAUAGUCUAACAUAUGCUAAUAAUAAAAUAUGAUGUAAAUUCUUAAAUUUGUAUUCAUAUGAAUUUUUUUUUUUUUUAUUGCCACGGGGGAGGGGGGUGGUGGGAGUUGAAAGAGGCUGAGGAAGGUGACUUCUUUUCUAAGUAGGCGCAUACCAUACUCCACCCUACUUUGUAGUCAGCCUUAGAGCCAAAUCAUGGUGUGAAGUGUUAAAACUGUGCCUUAAAAGCAAUUUAAGUUCUUUGGAGUUCCCGUUGUGGCUCAGUGGUUAACGAAUCUGACUAGGAACCAUGAGGUUGCGGGUUUGGUCCCUGGCCUUGCUUAGUGGGUUAAGGAUCCGGCGUUGCUGUGAGCUGUGGUGUAGGUUACAGACAUGGCUCGGAUCUAGCAUUGCUGUGGCUCCAGCGUAGGCCUGCGGCUAGAGCUCUGAUUGGACCCCUAGCCUGGGAACCUCCAUAUGCCCUGGGAGUGGCCCUAACACAAGCAAAAAGACAAAAAAAAAAAAAAAAA